rnacentral:misc_RNA from 1 species
UGGUAGUAAUCAUACUACUAAUGUACUAAUAAUAAGUAAGCCUAAUAAAUAUUAUUUUUGUACAUGAUGGAAGUUUAUUAUCAUUGAAAUAGUUUAUGAAACUUAGUUAUAGGUAUCUAUUUAUUCUUUUAUUUAAUAUGUAAGAAGUAGAGUUGUUUUAUGUGGAAUAAUAUUGACGAAGUCAUGGAGCAACCAGGAGAUAUUUAUGAGCAUCAUGCACGUUUAUGCCAAAUUUUACUGGGAAGCAACAAUAUUAAAAUUAUUUGCCAUGAUUUCAAUACGUUGACAUCAAAUUACGCCCGUGUUAAAUUUGCAAAAGCAUUAUUAGAUAAAUAUAAAAUUAAAGUGGAAAACUUUGCUAUAUCAACAAAGGAUGAAAAAAUAGCAUUAAAAUUCAGAGAAAGGGGGAAUGAAUUAUUUAAAGUUAAAAAAGACAAUGAUGCUUGGGAAAUGUAUACAAAAAGUAUUUCCCAUUCUAAAGAAAAAAGUGAAUGCCUUGGGCUUGCUUUUGCUAAUAGAUCUGCUGUACUGUUCCAAAAAGGUCUCUAUAAAGAAUGUCUAAAUGAUAUCAGUUUUGCUUUAGAGAAUAAUUACCCAGAAAAUAUUUUACAAAAAAUUUUGCUCAGAAAGGAAAAGUGUGAUCUGUUUUUGAAACAGCAGAAAUCAAGUCAAUUUUAUUCCGAACUGCCACCAUUAGAAUUUAGAAAUGAAAUGAUAGAUUGUGCAUCUGAAAGGAUAUCAAUAAAUUACUCAGAAAGAUAUGGAAGGUAUGUAGUAGCAGAAACAGACAUAGUACCUGGAGAAGUUUUAGCUGUUGAAAAACCUUAUGCAAAAAUUUUACUGCAAGAUUUUUACUAUACACAUUGCCACAAUUGUGUAAAACGUAACAUGAACCUCAUUCCCUGUGCUCACUGCAACUUGGCAUUGUUUUGUUCAUUGAGUUGUAAAGAAAAUGCCUGGCAAUCGUUUCACAAGUACGAGUGUCCAAUAUUACAUAUACUUAAUCGUUUAGAUGUUAAUAAAUUAACUUUGGUGGCUCUUAGAAUCAGCAUUGUAGCAAGAAAUGAUUAUAAAUUUGUUGGUUCUUUUCAGAAGAAGAUUUCCCAACAAAAUCACUAUUAUAAAUCUGCUUGUUACGAAGAAGUUCACAAUUUAGUUGCUAAUACAGAGAAACGACAAACAAAUGACUUAUUUGAAAGAGCAGUAAUUGCAGCUAUAAUUUGUGGUCUAAUGGAAAGUCAUACUUCAUUUUUUGAAGAUAUGCUAGACAAGGAAACUGGAGAGAAAAUGUUUCAAGAACUUUUGCUAUUACACAUACAGACAGCCCCCUCAAAUUUUCAUGAGAUUUCAGAACUGCAAAUAAGCAAUGGAAAGUCUGAUACAAUUGAAAUUGGCUGUGGUGUUUACAGUUUUAUGAGUUUAUUAAACCAUGCUUGUUCACCAAAUAUUGUUCGUAUUUGUUAUGGUUCUGAUAUUGUUUUAAGAGCAUUAAUGCCUAUUGUAAAAGGAGAGCAACUUUUUGACAACUAUGGUUAUCAUCAUUGUUUAAUGCCAAAGGAAGAAAGAAAAACAAUCUUAUUAAAACAAUACUAUUUUAACUGCGAAUGUUUGGCGUGUAUUUAUAAUUGGCCAUUAUACCACAACUUAAAGAAAGUUGGAGUGGAAUUGCAAGUUACCAUUGAAGAUAUCUCUGCACUCCAAGGAGGAGAUAUCAUAAUUGCAAAUAAUGUUAUUCCUAAUAUGAUUAAAAAAAUAGAAAAACUUUCUAAUUUACAACCAUGUAAGGAGUUGUCUGACGCCCAGGAGAUUUUGAAACAAUGUUUCAAAAUUUUUGGAAAUAGUUUUGUUUUAAUGUAGCAUGUUGCAGUUAGAACUGUUUAUUAUUUAUUCACGUAAAUUUGUGUAGAGUAAUAUAAAAAAUGAAGUUUAUAUAAUGAAUUAAACAAACUGUAGGUACUAUUCACUUUUUCACCCUUCUAUACAUUUAAUGAAAUCAAUUUAUAUCAGUAGAACAAUAAGGGUGUAAUCAUUACACAUAUCUGCUUCUUCGUGAAAUAAUAUUCUGUAUAAAAUUACAUUUGUGUUUGGGGACUCGUUAACUUGAAAAUUUAUUAUGGUAAUCAAUAUGAUACGCUCCGUUCAACAGUCAGCAAAAGACCUCGCUCAUAUCUUGUCAAUGGUUUAAAUUGGGUUGUAUUUAGUUCAUAUAAAUAAAUAUGUUAAAUGGAUCGAAAUAUUGACGAAAGAUUUAGAAAACCGAGACAAACUCGUGGUACACCAUUGCACACAACUCGAAAUUUUUAUUUUCUUGGCUUGGUUGGUUUAUCUGGAGUAAUUUGGUAUUUAUGGGAGUUAUGGCCUCAAACACGAAAGUUAAAAUACAGCAUACCAGAAGGAAAAUUUGAUUUCUCUCCAGAAAUGCGUCAGCGGAUUGAUAUUUUUAAAAUGAACUCCUCGGGGCCUUCUAUGGACAUGAUAAUUGAGAAGGUGAAAAAGAAUCUUGAAGAAAAGGAGAAGCAGGAAGAAAAGCCAAGGCCACAAUCGCGAUUAAAUAAAGUACUAAAUUCAUGGGUUUUAAAUCCUGAAUAAGUAUUUUAUAAAUUGAUAUAAAUCAUAAUAAAUAAUAUCUGUAGCUUGAAGGUAAAAGGGCUAGCGCCAAUAUUUUGUCAUUGAUUAAAUGUAUUUACGAUUG